rnacentral:lncRNA from 1 species
UCCUAAGCAUACUCCAUUACUUUCCGUCCCACUAGGCAAACCACCGACAUUUGACGGUGAAGAUUAUUCUAGGUGGAGUGAUAUGAUGAGAUAUCACCUAACCUCACUCCACAAAAGUAUAUGGGAUGUUGUUGAGUUUGGUGUACAGGUACCGUCCGUAGGGGAUGAAGAUUAUGAUGAGGACGAGGUGGCCCAAAUUGUGCACUUCAACUCCCAAGCCACCACUAUACUCCUCACCUCUCUAUGUCGAGAGGAGUAUAACAAGGUGCAAGGAUUGAAGAGCGCCAAGCAGAUUUGGGAUGUACUCAAGACCGCGCACGAAGGAGACGAGGUGACAAAAAUCACCAAGCGGGAGACGAUCGAGGGGGAGCUCGGUCGCUUCUGGCUUCGCCAAGGGGAGGAGCCACAAGAAAUGUACAACCGGCUCAAGACCUUGGUGAACCAAGUGCGCAACCUUGGGAGCACCAAAUGGGAUGACCAUGAAAUGGUCAAGGUUAUUCUUAGAUCACUCGUUUUUCUUAAUCCUACGCAAGUUUAAUUAAUAUGUGGUGAUCCUAGAUACACACUAAUGUCUCCCGAGGAAGUGAUAGGAAAAUUUGUGAGCUUUGAGUUGAUGAUCAAAGGCUUAAAGAAAAACAUCGAGCAAGAUGGCCCCUCCACACUCGAAGCACAACCGGUCGCAUUCAAGGCGACGGAGGAGAAGAAGGAAGAGUCUACAUCAAGUAGACUCCCCAUUGACGCCUCCAAGCUCGACAAUGAGGAGAUGGCUCUCAUCAUCAAGAGCUUCCGCCAAAUCCUCAAGCAAAGGAGGGGGAAGGACUACAAAUCCCGCUCCAAGAAAGUGUGCUACAAGUGUGGUAAGCCCGGUCACUUUAUUGCAAAAUGUCCUUUAUCAAGUGACAGUGACAGGGAUAACGACAAGAAGGGCAAGAGGAGAGAAAAGAAGAGGUACUACAAGAAGAAGGGCGGCGAUGCCCAUGUGUGCCGCGAGUGGAACUCCAACGAGAGCUCCUCUAACUCCUCCUCCGAUGAGGACGCCGCCAACAUCGCUGUCACCAAAGGGCUCCUCUUCCCCAACGUCGGCCACAAGUGCCUCAUGGCAAAGGACGGCAAAAGGAAGAAGGUAAAAUCAAAAUCCUCCACUAAAUAUGCAACCUCUAGUGAUGAGGAUAAUUCUAGUGAUGAGGAGGAUAAUUUGCGCAACCUUUUUGCCAACCUAAACAUGCAACAAAAAGAGAAGUUAAAUGAAUUAAUUAGUGCUAUUCAUGAGAAGGAUGAACUCUUGGACACCCAAGAGGACUUCCUAAUUAAGGAAAACAAGAAGCAUGUUAAGGUCAAAAAUGCUUACGCUCUAGAAGUAGAAAAAUGUGGAAAACUAUCUAGUGAGCUAAGUACUUGCCAUGAUAUUAUUGCCAACCUUAGAAAUGAGAAUGCUAAAAUAAUUGCUAAGGUUUAUUCAAGUGUAUUUGAUGAUUCAAUUUCCAAUCUUAGAGAUGAUAAUGUUAGUUUACUUGCUAAGAUUGAAAAAUUGAAUGAUUCCCUUGCUAACCUUAGGAUUGAAAAUGAAAAAUUGAUUGCUAAGGCUAAAGACUUAGAUGUUUGCAAUGCUUCCAUUUCCAAUCUUAGAAGCGAAAAUGACAUUUUACAUGCUAAGAUUGUUAAACUAAAAUCUUGCAAACCCUCUACAUCUACCGUUGAGCAUGUUUCCAUUUGCACUAGAUGUAGAGACAUUAAUGUUGAUGCUAUUCAUGAUCACCUAGCUUUAAUUAAGAAACAAAAUGAUCACAUAGCUCAACUUAAUGCCAAAAUUAAUGAGCAUGACUUAGAAAAUGAAAAUUUUAAAUUUGCUAGAAGCAUGCUCUAUAGUGGGAGACGCCCUGGCAUCAAGGAUGGCAUUGGCUUCCAAAAGGGGGACAAUGUCAAACUUAAUGCCCCUCCUAAAUGUCACACCCGGUUUUGGAAGGUAAACCGAAUGCGAACCAUGUACGUGCCAGGAUCAGAAAUUCACGUACACGGCGAUUACAUAAAUGACUCAUCAUAGCACGAUGCUUCGAAUAACAAUAAAGAGUAAGUAAUAAUAUGAAAGACUAGAGUCAUUUACAUAAUAUAAUCAAAGUACACAGAAUAGAAACGUAGCCAACGUAAAUUAACCCACCACAGGCAGCUGACUGGGGAAGGUCGCUAGCCUAAUCCUCGAACUCAUCGAAGUCCUGGAACUCCUGGAGAUCCGCCUCGACGCUUCUUCUUUACCUGAGCAUAGAUUGCACCAAAGGCAACCUGGUGUUUUGUGAAAGCAAGGGUGAGUACACAUCAACGUACUCAGCAAAUGUCCCGUUUGGCUGAAGUGGACUAGCUUUAUGUGGGGUUAAGGUCAAAGCAGUUGCUUUUAGUUAGUCAGGUAUUUAUUAUUAAUGGAAGCCAAGUUUUAUCAUAUAACCAACCCGUGAACCAUUUCCUCAUCGAGGAAACACCAUUAUCAUCAUCGAACCAGAAUAAUAAAUAGAACCAUUGUGUCUCAGAUCAUUUGUAUCUCUAAUCAAAGAGGAUCUCAAGGCCGCUCAUAACCGUGAGCACGGCUGAUAUAUCAGUUUCUAACCCUCUGCAGAGGUCGCACACUUUACCCAUGAGCCGUGAUUCCCGUUUUGCCCAGGGAUCAUGACUCCCCAUUGAUCACUUCCUAGGUGGUCCGGCAGGGUAUCACUACGUAGCCUUUACAAAGAUUCCCUAGAGGUCAUAGCCGCCCGUUAGGUUUCUCCAGUUUGAUAAACACAGCACUCCUCCCCGCAGGAGGGUGACUAACAAAAGCAAAACGAAAGAACCUCGGCACCCAGCCUCGGUAGAGCAAGCACUGUGCCUGGACCCCAUUGACGGCACGACGGCGAAGCAACUACACCUCUAGUUCCUCUAAUUAAUUAGCUAAGGGCAUCCCAUUUCACCCUCAUGGUUGCACUGUUAUCCCGGGUGGUCUCUCAACGAACAGGUCCUUACGGAGAGGUACUCGGGAAACAGCCCGAGUCCCCUUAAAUGCCACGAGUAUAUCAUCAUAUCGAGAAUAAAAUCGUAGUAUCAUCAUUGUAUCUCAUCAUGUUCAUUGAUUAAAGUAAAGCGCUAGCAUGUAGCUAACCAUAGUAACCCAAAAGGUAAAUCAAGGACAAGGUAAAUAGAAAGCUAGUAAAUCCUUAGGUUUCAAUUAAGUAGUGCGGGACAGUGAAUUAUAAACAGAUAGGACAUAAUGGGUCAGAGGACACUUGCCUUCACCAAACUGAUGCUCAGGUCUUCAAUCUCGUGGAACUCAAAGAACUGGAUCACUUGGUUGCCCACGCUUGAUCUUUGAUUCCUCGAAGCUCGAAAACGGAUCGCAAUCUAUUCGCGACGCAAAGCGAAGACAAACAGGCACAAGCAAACAAAUAUAUAUAUGCAUAAGAACAUUACACCAUACAAGAUAAAACAUUAUAGAAACGAGCAAUAUAAAAUAGAGAGCGCUUCUACGGUUACGCGAGGAUAAGAAACACGACGGUCAAGCUACAGUCGAGAAGUUAUCGCGUUUACGUUAAACAAAUAUUAACUAUAAUGUUUUAAUUUGACAAUAUCAAAUAUAAAUAAUUUCUACCAUUUAGUUUCGAUUAAUCUGCUACACUAACAGCUAUCAGUUAAAUAAGUAAUUUAAUUAAAACGAGAGAUUCUAAGUGAGGCGAAUCUAGGACGUGCGAAACAACACGACAGCGCGCGAACGAUGCGGGCACACACGCGACAUAGCACACGAACGACGCACAAGACAGCGCGCGCGACUAGCACGAACGACGCGCGAAACAGCACGCCACUGCGUGCUGAACAACACGCGCGACAGAGCGCGCGGACGACGCACGAACACACGUGACACUCGCGAACGACACGCGACAACGCGUGUGAACGGCACGCGCGACACACGCAAAACAACGUGCACGACAGUGCGCGACACACGAGCCAACGCGACUACGCGAACGACGUCGCGCGAACAGCUUGACGACGCGCAAACGAUGCUGCAGGCGAACAACACAACUACGAGCACAACAAACAAUUAAUUAAACAAAAGUACUUAAACUAAUAUUAAAUAAGUUAAUUAACAUUUAUAUUUAUAAAAGCACGAGUUAAAAUUAUAGACCCGUUAUAAUUAAAUUGUCAUUAUAAAUAAUCCCGACAACUAAACAAGAAUGGACCAAUCAGCGCGAGCGACUAUAACAAAAAUAAUUGAAUAACGUGUGGACAUCGUGAAACAGCGCACGAGGGCGACAGCUACAACGGCGCACGACAGCUCGCUCGACCGAGCGAGGGCACCCGGCAAGCACAACACGAUGACAUAGCGCGCGCAGAGCGGGCAACGGCGAGGCGAGCGGCGCGAAUGCGCGCACGCAGGGGGUAGACGAACGAGUUCUAGGGGGUAGAUGGAGGGGUAGCCAGACGCCAUCAGAGUCCCGACGACAUGCCACGUAUAUGUGAAAGCGAGUGCGCGCUAGCUGCGAGGAGGUGUUUUGGGGCUGUUGCGCACACGGUUCGGCAAAUUGCGUCGCGCGGGGGGGGGCAUGCAUAGGGGUAGACGCCUGCUGCCCAUCUCGACGAGCGAGGAUACGGGUAUGGCUCGACGACGAACGACGCGCACAGAGGCUGGGUUGAGGGCGCGCAGGACACGACGCAACGACGUGUGGGGGACACUUGGCCGUGCUGGCUGCGAGGAACUCAUGUGAGGGGGGAUCGACAGGGGGAGUUUGCACCACGGCCAUGCUGGGACAGACUGCGCAACGGCAGCGGCUCGCCGUGGCGGCCGGACGGGCAUGGAGCGAGGGUGGCCAGGCGGGCUGCUCACGCGAGGAGGCUCCGGCUGCACGUCGGCCUGCUAUUAGCUACGCGUUGAUAGGAAAGAGAAGCGAGAGGAGAGAGGGAGAAGAAGAGGAGCUCACCUCAUGCUCGCAACGUCGGCCGGCGGUGCUGCGAAUCGGCACGAACAGCAGUGGCGAGCGUGCAGGGAGCGGCGACUGGGCAGCGCGCGCUAGGGGCGGCGGCUGGGCGAGCGUGCGCUAGGGUUCGCGCUGCGCGCGCGAGUGGCUGUGCAGCGGCUGGGCGAGCGGCGCGCGCUGGGCUGGGGCGCGGAGGCAGCAGCUGGCGCGCGGCUGGGCCACGAAAGCAGGCCGGGGUGGGGGUGCACCUGGGCCGUUCGUGAAGGACGAGCUGGGCCGAGUGAUUUGAG